rnacentral:rRNA from 1 species
UGCCAGCCGCCGCGGUAAUACGGAGGGUGCAAGCGUUGUUCGGAAUUAUUGGGCGUAAAGCGCGUGUAGGCGGUUCGUUAAGUCUGAUGUGAAAGCCCGGGGCUCAACCCCGGAACUGCAUUCCAAACUUGCGGACUAGAGGACAGGAGGGGGAAGUGGAACUCCGAGUGUAGGGGUGAAAUCCGUAGAUAUUCGGAGGAACACCAGUGGCGAAGGCGGCUUUCUGGACCGAUACUGACGCUGAGACGCGAAAGCGUGGGGAGCAAACAGGAUUAGAUA